rnacentral:misc_RNA from 1 species
GACAGAGAGAAACACAGAGGGAGAGAAUAAAGUGGCAAAACAUUUUAUGCACUCCUAAAUUGUAAAAAGUACUAGUUUAUUAGAACCAUAAAACUUUAGAGUACAGGGUAAUAUGUGGGGAUGAAUGCCUGAGAAUUGCAUGUGCUUCCCACUUGUUUAUUGGUUAGGAUUUCAAACUUUUGAAUUCUAUCAUGUUACAUUGAAUUUCUGUUUGAUAUGGGUUGGAAAAGAAAGACUAGUACUGUACUGCAAUCUCUUUUGUCUACCUAACAUGCAUUCUUGAGUGAUCAUCAGUCAAGCCUCGAUGUACAACCAUUGUGGCCUUUGCUGCUAUAAGAAAUGUUUGUUUUUACUUUUGGUUCUGAUAUAUUUCUUAAGUGACAUUUUAUUUCUCUUCCAACAUCCUCUUAGCAUGUCAUGUCAUGUGGAUGCUUUCUACUUACCUAAUUUCACAAGUUUUAUGUAUGUUAGGUUUUGAUAAUCUGAUUUUUAAUAUUUUUCAUAUCCACUGUACACAACCUUUUUUGUAAAAUUUUUUCUGUUAUGCUGUAUAUUUAAUGUUUUAGCAAAUUGAGUGACUGCAAAGAUAUU